rnacentral:tRNA from 1 species
GCGGGGGUAGCUCAGUGGUAGAGCGCCUGCCUUCCAAGCAGGAUGUCGCGGGUUCGAACCCCGUCCCCCGCUCCA